AUGACUCAGAUGGAGGAGGAAGACACCCUGAAAGGAGGACAGAGCAAGGUAAAGAGAGGUAGGACAGUAAUGAGGGAGAGGAGGAUGACAGCCAGAGAAAGAAUGGAAGGAGGGACCCUGAGAGGGAUGAGAGGAGGAUUAAAAGAAAGAGGAGGACAGGAUCCUCAUAGGAGGUCAAAGUCACACACACACACACACACACACACACACACACACACACACACACACACACACACACACACACACACACACACACACAGACACACACACACACACACACAACNNNNNNNNNNNNNNNNNNNNNCUCUCUUUCCCCUUCUCUCCAUCCUCAGUCCCUAUCCUCCUCUCUACAGUCUCUCUCUUUCCCCUUCUCUCCAUCCUCAGUCCCUAUCCUCCUCUCUACAGGCUCUCUCUUUCCCCUUCUCUCCAUCCUCAGUCCCUAUCCUCCUCUCUACAGUCUCUCUCUUUCCCCUUCUCUCCAUCCUCAGUCCCUAUCCUCCUCUCUACAGUCUCUCUCUUUCCCCUUCUCUCCAUCCUCAGUCCCUAUCCUCCUCUCUACAGGCUCUCUCUUUCCCCUUCUCUCCAUCCUCAGUCCCUAUCCUCCUCUCUACAGUCUCUCUCUUUCUCCUUCUCUCCAUCCUCAGUCCCUAUCCUCCUCUCUACAGGCUCUCUCUUUCCCCUUCUCUCCAUCCUCAGUCCCUAUCCUCCUCUCUACAGUCUCUCUCUUUCCCCUUCUCUCCAUCCUCAUUCCCUAUCCUCCUCUCUACAGGCUCUCUCUUUCUCCUUCUCUCCAUCCUCAGUCCCUAUCCUCCUCUCUACAGGCUCUCUCUUUCCCCUUCUCUCCAUCCUCAGUCCCUAUCCUCCUCUCUACAGUCUCUCUCUUUCCCCUUCUCUCCAUCCUCAGUCCCUAUCCUCCUCUCUACAGGCUCUCUCUUUCCCCUUCUCUCCAUCCUCAGUCCCUAUCCUCCUCUCUACAGGCUCUCUCUUUCCCCUUCUCUCCAUCCUCAGUCCCUAUCCUCCUCUCUACAGGCUCUCUCUUUCCCCUUCUCUCCAUCCUCAGUCCCUAUCCUCCUCUCUACAGGCUCUCUCUUUCCCCUUCUCUCCAUCCUCAGUCCCUAUCCUCCUCUCUACAGGCUCUCUCUUUCUCCUUCUCUCCAUCCUCAGUCCCUAUCCUCCUCUCUACAUGCUCUCUCUUUCUCCUUCUCUCCAUCCUCAGUCCCUAUCCUCCUCUCUACAGGCUCUCUCUUUCUCCUUCUCUCCAUCCUCAGUCCCUAUCCUCCUCUCUACAGUCUCUCUCUUUCUCCUUCUCUCCAUCCUCAGUCCCUAUCCUCCUCUCUACAUGCUCUCUCUUUCUCCUUCUCUCCAUCCUCAGUCCCUAUCCUCCUCUCUACAGGCUCUCUCUUUCCCCUUCUCUCCAUCCUCAGUCCCUAUCCUCCUCUCUACAGGCUCUCUCUUUCCCCUUCUCUCCAUCCUCAGUCCCUAUCCUCCUCUCUGUCAUCCGGAGGGUGA
rnacentral:lncRNA from 8 species